AUUGAACGCUGGCGGCAGGCCUAACACAUGCAAGUCGAACGGUAACAGGAAGCAGCUUGCUGCUUCGCUGACGAGUGGCGGACGGGUGAGUAAUGUCUGGGAAACUGCCUGAUGGAGGGGGAUAACUACUGGAAACGGUAGCUAAUACCGCAUAACGUCGCAAGACCAAAGAGGGGGACCUUAGGGCCUCUUGCCAUCGGAUGUGCCCAGAUGGGAUUAGCUAGUAGGUGGGGUAACGGCUCACCUAGUCGACGAUCCCUAGCUGGUCUGAGAGGAUGACCAGCCACACUGGAACUGAGACACGGUCCAGACUCCUACGGGAGGCAGCAGUGGGGAAUAUUGCACAAUGGGCGCAAGCCUGAUGCAGCCAUGCCGCGUGUAUGAAGAAGGCCUUCGGGUUGUAAAGUACUUUCAGCGGGGAGGAAGGGAGUAAAGUUAAUACCUUUGCUCAUUGACGUUACCCGCAGAAGAAGCACCGGCUAACUCCGUG
rnacentral:rRNA from 1 species